rnacentral:rRNA from 1 species
ACGUCUUUUUCCCGCUUUUUUCUGAAUGACUGGGCGUAAAGGGAGCGCAGGCGGUUUGAUAAGUCUGGAGUGAAAGCCCGGGGCUCAACCCCGGCGGGUCUUUGGAUACUGUCAAGCUAGAGUACGGAAGAGGAGAGUGGAAUUCCAGGUGUAGCGGUGAAAUGCGUAGAUAUCUGGAGGAACACCGGUGGCGAAAGCGGCUCUCUGGUCCGAUACUGACGCUCAUGCUCGAAAGCGUGGGGAGCAAACGG